rnacentral:rRNA from 1 species
GCUUCGGCCUUAGUGGCGCACGGGUGAGUAACGCGUGGGAAUCUGCCUAUCAGUGGGGAAUAACGACGGGAAACUGUCGCUAAUACCGCAUACGCCCUUCGGGGGAAAGAUUUAUCGCUGAUAGAUGAGCCCGCGUACGAUUAGCUAGUUGGUGAGGUAAUGGCUCACCAAGGCUACGAUCGUUAGCUGGUCUGAGAGGAUGAUCAGCCACACUGGGACUGAGACACGGCCCAGACUCCUACGGGAGGCAGCAGUGGGGAAUAUUGGACAAUGGGCGAAAGCCUGAUCCAGCAAUGCCGCGUGAGUGAUGAAGGCCUUAGGG